rnacentral:rRNA from 1 species
GUUGUAUGGUUAAGUGACUAAGCGUACACGGUGGAUGCCUUGGCAGUCAGAGGCGAUGAAGGACGUAUUAACUUGCGAUAAGCCCAGAUUAGGCAGUAAAAGCCACUUGAGUCUGGGAUUUCCGAAUGGGGAAACCCACUUACAUAAGUAAGUAUCACACACUGAAUACAUAGGUGUGUGAGGCGAACCGGGGGAACUGAAACAUCUAAGUACCCCGAGGAAAAGAAAUCAACCGAGAUUCCGAAAGUAGCGGCGAGCGAAAUUGGAUUAGCCCUUAAGCGUAAUAUGCGUCAGGUGAAACUUCUGGAAAGUUGUGCGAUACAGGGUGAUAGCCCCGUAACCGGCAACGCAUUUUAAGUGAAAACGAGUAGGGCGGGACACGUGUUAUCCUGUCUGAAUAUGGGGGGACCAUCCUCCAAGGCUAAAUACUACUGACUGACCGAUAGUGAACCAGUACCGUGAGGGAAAGGCGAAAAGAACCCCUGUGAGGGGAGUGAAAUAGAACCUGAAACCGUGUACGUACAAGCAGUAGGAGCGGGCAUUGCGUCCCGUGACUGCGUACCUUUUGUAUAAUGGGUCAGCGACUUAAUUUUAGUAGCAAGGUUAACCAUCUAGGGGAGCCGUAGGGAAACCGAGUCUUAACUGGGCGUAUAGUUGCUAGAAUUAGACCCGAAACCAGGUGAUCUAGCCAUGGGCAGGUUGAAGAUUGAGUAACAUCAAUUGGAGGACCGAACCGACUAAUGUUGAAAAAUUAGCGGAUGACUUGUGGCUAGGGGUGAAAGGCCAAUCAAACCUGGAGAUAGCUGGUUCUCCCCGAAAGCUAUUUAGGUAGCGCCUCGGACGAAUACUACUGGGGGUAGAGCACUGUUAAGGCUAGGGGGUCAUCCCGACUUACCAACCCUUUGCAAACUCCGAAUACCAGUAAGUACUAUCCGGGAGACACACGGCGGGUGCUAACGUCCGUCGUGGAGAGGGAAACAACCCAGACCGCCAGCUAAGGUCCCAAAUUAUUACUAAGUGGGAAACGAUGUGGGAAGGCUUAGACAGCUAGGAUGUUGGCUUAGAAGCAGCCAUCAUUUAAAGAAAGCGUAAUAGCUCACUAGUCGAGUCGGCCUGCGCGGAAGAUGUAACGGGGCUAAGUAAUAAACCGAAGCUGCGGCAAUAACUUUUAGUUAUUGGGUAGGGGAGCGUUCUGUAAGCGGUUGAAGGUGUGUUGUAAAGCAUGCUGGACGUAUCAGAAGUGCGAAUGCUGACAUGAGUAACGAUAAAGGGGGUGAAAAACCCCCUCGCCGGAAGACCAAGGGUUCCUGUCCAACGUUAAUCGGGGCAGGGUAAGUCGACCCCUAAGGCGAGGCCGAAAGGCGUAGUCGAUGGGAAACGGGUUAAUAUUCCCGUACUUCUUAUAAUUGCGAUGGGGGGACGGAGAAGGCUAGGUGGGCCUGGCGACGGUCGUCCAGGUUCAAGUACGUAGGCGGAAGGUUUAGGUAAAUCCGGACUUUCAUUAACGCUGAGAUACGAUGUCGAGCUACUACGGUAGUGAAGUCAUUGAUGCCAUGCUUCCAGGAAAAGCCUCUAAGCUUCAGAUUAUAAGAAAUCGUACCCCAAACCGACACAGGUGGUCGGGUAGAGAAUACCAAGGCGCUUGAGAGAACUCGGGUGAAGGAACUAGGCAAAAUGGUACCGUAACUUCGGGAGAAGGUACGCUCUUGGCGGUGAAGUCCCUUGCGGAUGGAGCUACUAGGAGUCGCAGAUACCAGGUGGCUGCAACUGUUUAUUAAAAACACAGCACUGUGCAAAAUCGUAAGAUGACGUAUACGGUGUGACGCCUGCCCGGUGCCGGAAGGUUAAUUGAUGGGGUUAGACUUCGGUCGAAGCUCUUGAUCGAAGCCCCGGUAAACGGCGGCCGUAACUAUAACGGUCCUAAGGUAGCGAAAUUCCUUGUCGGGUAAGUUCCGACCUGCACGAAUGGCGUAAUGAUGGCCACGCUGUCUCCACCCGAGACUCAGUGAAAUUGAAAUCGCUGUGAAGAUGCAGUGUACCCGCGGCUAGACGGAAAGACCCCGUGAACCUUUACUACAGCUUGGCACUGAACAUUGACCCUACAUGUGUAGGAUAGGUGGGAGGCUUCGAAGCAGGUACGCCAGUAUCUGUGGAGCCGUCCUUGAAAUACCACCCUUGUAUGCUUGAUGUUCUAACGUUGGUCCCUUAUCGGGAUUACGGACAGUGCCUGGUGGGUAGUUUGACUGGGGCGGUCUCCUCCCAAAGAGUAACGGAGGAGCACGAAGGUGGGCUAAACACGGUUGGACAUCGUGUGGUUAGUGCAAUGGCAUAAGCCCGCUUAACUGCGAGAAUGACAAUUCGAGCAGGUACGAAAGUAGGUCAUAGUGAUCCGGUGGUUCUGUAUGGAAGGGCCAUCGCUCAACGGAUAAAAGGUACUCCGGGGAUAACAGGCUGAUACCGCCCAAGAGUUCAUAUCGACGGCGGUGUUUGGCACCUCGAUGUCGGCUCAUCACAUCCUGGGGCUGAAGUCGGUCCCAAGGGUAUGGCUGUUCGCCAUUUAAAGUGGUACGCGAGCUGGGUUUAGAACGUCGUGAGACAGUUCGGUCCCUAUCUGCCGUGGGCGUUGGAGAAUUGAAAGGGGCUGCUCCUAGUACGAGAGGACCGGAGUGGACGAACCUCUGGUGUUCGGGUUGUCAUGCCAAUGGCAUUGCCCGGUAGCUAAGUUCGGAAUCGAUAACCGCUGAAAGCAUCUAAGCGGGAAGCGAGCCUUGAGAUGAGUUCUCCCUGAUACUUUAAGUAUCCUAAAGGGUUGUCGGAGACUACGACGUUGAUAGGCAGGGUGUGUAAGUGCUGCGAGGCAUUGAGCUAACCUGUACUAAUUGCCCGUGAGGCUUAACCAUACAACACCCAAAGGGUUUUG